AUUGGCAAAUCAAUCGUACUAGCCUAUGGCUGGUUUAUUGAAAAUAUGGUGGGGCUUCUGUUAACUGAACAUCAGAGCAAGAUUGUCUGUCUAAUUGAAUCUUAUUGGGGGGAUAAAAGGGAAAUUAGGUAGUUUGCUGGAGUUAAGCCUUCCAGACAGACUUUUUGUUAAUCAAGCAUCUGUUAUGAAGUGGAUUUUUCAGAUGUUUGGCAAAAAAUGGAGUGCAUUGGAGAUUAGAAUUUGUCUAUGAAGUGAGAGUUAAGGCAGUUAGUACCUAUUUAUUAAACAAACAAUUACUCAAAACAUAUCACCAGAUUGUUGAAAAAUGAUCAUUUUAAUAGGAUUUUUUAAAGUCUUUAGUUCUCUGUGAAAUUCUGGUUUUCAUUUAAAAAAAUCAGUUUCAACCAACAGGAAAAUUUUGUUGGAGAAUUUUCAUUUGGUCAAAAGAGCCAUUUUUCAUCAAAGUGUUUUUAUGCUACAUUACAGCUCCAAAUGCUGACCUUCUCCAUAGUUUCUAAAGUAAUUCCUACUAAUAGCACUCUAAAGUCUGCUCCCUAUAAACUAGAGAUGGGUGAAUUCUGAAAUAUUAAAUUACCCUUAUGUGCACUGAAAAACUCUCAGUUGCUUCACUGUGGAAUAUUUCCUGUUGUUGUCUUCUUCUCCUCCCCCACCAAGGUUGGGGACAGGGUUGAAUGGUGCAUUACAACUGUCACAGGGUGAUUGGCCCAUUUAAGAGAGUUGGUCCAGUUCACCUGUGGCUAAUUAGCUGCCUUAUAGCAGGUACCUUGUGUCUGAAAACCUAAACUGUGUUAGGACAAGGAGGAAGAAGAGGCAGGAAGCUGGAGGUGAGAGUUCUCUGGAGCAAGCUGUAUGAGCUUCUCUUGAUUUCCCCUGAGAGAGUACAAGUUGGGAGUUUCUUGGAGGGGAAGAAGAUCUGGCCCAGAGGAAGAAUUGGGCAGAGCUGAUAGUUCAGGACUGACCGGAGCUGGGGAACUCCACCAACUGGAAGUUUCUUGAGGCAAUCCCUAGAUAGUAGAUGAAGCACUGUCAGAGAUUAAGGUGUCAAAAGAGGAGGUGGUGAAACAAAUUGAUGAAUAAAGAGCAACAAGUCACCAGGACCAAUAUAUAGUGGGACAAUUCCUUCUACUUUUUUAGAGUCGGCUGGCCCAGUUUCACAAGUGAACAGUCUCCAGCAAUAACAUUUCAACAGACUGUCCUCUUUACAGUGACAGAGCUUCAAUUUAUGAUUUUUUUCCCCCUGAAAUAAGCCAAGAAUUCAACACAGAGUUUCUAGCAGCAGUCUUGACUGGGGCUCAGCAAACUGAGAUUUGCCUAUGCUGUUUUGAAUCUGACACAGUAUGAACUGUUUUUUUUUUUCAAUUUCUGAUUAAAAUUUCUGAGUAUACCCCUACAUGCUGGCUUAGCCUGCCUCAGAAGAUGCUCAGAUACUAAGGCAAUGAGUGCAGUACAAGCAUCUGGAUAGCGUACAGUGAUAGGGCUCUCAUCUGUGAGUUAAAGAGCACCUGAUAUAUAUCUUAAUAUAACUUCUUAGACACCUCACUGGUCCCCUGAGUAUUCUGUGCUACAGAAACAUACCAUCUUUAGGACCAGAUUGUUUCACCCUUGUGCAAGUGCACUGAGAGGUUGGGAGACAAGGGGCUACAGCCAUAUAUGAUCCACAAGUGUCAGGCACAGUUAUGAUCCCUGUGUACACUCAGUCUUCCUUGCGGCAUAAGCCUCUGCAGUGAGGCAGGGAUGUUGCCCCAUCUCUGACUGAAGCAGUGAUGGAAGAGCUGGCCAGAUAUGCUAGAUGGAACAUGCCACUCCAAUAUACAGGAUGAUGCUGGAGGCACACUUCCUCUGUGCUCCCUGGACCUCCAUAUGAGACUGUCUCCAGGUAGCACAAUUCUUCUGAUAGCUCCUCCAGGUCAAGCCAGAGUCUUCAAAGCACAAUCUGCCCCUUGGCCUCUCUUGUGCCAUGCCACCAGCCCUUAUUCAGGGAUGGAAGUGAAACCAAGGGGGCAGUAUCAAAGGGCAUAUUUUGAAAGUGACAUAGUUCACUAUGAAGACACAAUCACAUUUACAUAGACAUUACCUUGCAUUAUAUACUAGUAUCUUGACAUGCUGGCUUCAGCAUAUGCUGCCAUUAUGGAGGAUUUUACUUUUUGGCAAUAUGAGCAUAUGGGACUACGUUCUUUCCUUUAUAAUGUUUAGUAUGUCAUGAUUGUUAUGGACCUGAGCCUGCAAACAAUAUCAUUAGGAGUUUACCCAUUGACUCCAGUGGAAACAGAACUAGUUCCCUUAGAUAAUCAUUUUUAUAUCAUUUGUGUCACUCUAAUAUUCAUAGUCCAUUCGAUGCUUUUCCCCUUGAUAGCUCUCAUUUUGUCAUGAUGGGGCCUGGGCAGUCUGACCUAGCGGUCAGAGCAGGAGUCUGUAGUCAGACCGGGUCAGAUACCAGGCAAGCCAGAAGGCCAGAGUCCAACGCAAGUCAGAGGGCAAAACUGAGAGUCAGAUGUCAGGAGGCAGAUAGGGUCAAGUUACCAGGAGAGCGGUAGCAAGGAUCAGGUAUUGCAGAGGAAGCAGUCCUAAGCAGGGAAAUCCUAGUUGCAUGGACAACUCCUGGUCCUGUGCUGGGUUUAUAUGGAAGUGGUGAACUAAUCAGGACCCUGACUCUUCUGCCAAUGGGAUUCCAGGACUGGAAUGCUCUGUCAGGGUUUAGCUUCUAUUUUGGCAACUGUUAGCAGGGCCCUGAGUAGCAGGUUGGAACCUGUUAGCUCCUAGUUCCUGACACAUCUCCAUUAUUUCUCAUUUUCACUUGCUUCUGUAUAGUGGCUGUCACCUUCUUCCAGUGUGUGAGAGAACAUGCUUUGUCUUAUUUUUCUCUGUGCUCUUGCUGAGAGCUUUUGAAGCUACGGCCAUCUAGGUGUAGAAUCCUUUGGAAUGUGUGGUGUAUUAACUCCAAUGAUGGAGAAAAAUCUUUCUGCCAGACCACUUUGUGGAGAUAUGAUACUAUUCCUCAGCCUAAUCGUUUCUAACUGUGGUUUGAGCUGCAUGGAUAGGUGUGGGUAUCUAACUUUUUAAAUUUUGUAUUAAACUUCAUUGAAACUUUAUGUAACUUCAGUAUGAAUAAUUGCCUUGGGAAAUUCUGGGGCUGAACUGUUCACACAUGUGGAUUUGCCUAGCUAAAUGUCUAUCCAAGUAUUGGAAGUCAUUAGGGGAAACUGAGGCCUAUCUCAAAUGUGGUUUGGAGUUCUUUAAGACUAAUGGCUAGUCAUGCAAGAUUGGAAGGAGGUAAUUGGUGAGGAAACUGUCUGUUGUCUCUUACCUGAUGUAAGCUGGAAUGAAGGAUGCAAUCCACUAUGCACAAAGACAAUGAAUUUCUACUAUACAAAGUAAGUGGUGUUCAUAUUAGGUUAGAUCAAAUCAUCUAAAUUCUGGGGCUGGCUUAGUGGCACUUUUUUUUGUAGUGAAGUGCUACAUAAGUAUCAAUUUGAUUAACCAACUUUUAUGACUUUGGUUUCUACCCCUUGCCAAAUAAACUUUGCUUUUUAAAUAAUGUAACUGGAAUGGGAGAUACAAAGUGGUGUACUCAUUGUUACUGGAAAGCCCCAGGAAAGGGAAACCAGAUUUCUAGCCCUUAAGAGGCUGAGUAUGCUAUGGUGACUAGGCCCUUUAAGAGGGGUCAGGGCCAAUGCACCUUUGACUAGUCAGCUGACCCAAAUUAGGUUUAAAAGAGGCACCUGGAGCCAUAGGGAAGGAAGAUCUAGUGAGUCAGUGUGCUGCAAGGGCAUGGCAUGGCAUGGCAUGGGGCAGGGCAGGGCAGGGCAGGGCAGGGCAGGAGAAAGCCCCGGGUGGUAGUGCUCCGUGAACAGAACCCAGAAGAUUCCUGCAAAGAGCUCCUGAGAGGUGAAGAGGAAAAUCCUCAGGGAACUGAAGCCCAGAGUGGACUGAGGAGAUGGGUUUUGUUAAUAUUGCUUAUUUUUGGAAAACAAAACUGCCUGGGAAAAUACUCUGGGGCCUGUACUGGUGGGUUCUCUGUGAGCUGUGGAGAAGGCCUGCUUGUUUCAUCUAUCAGUAAUUGGAGUGGUGAAGUGAACAUCAGCAUUUGGGACUAAAUAAUAGCAUCAAAUAACUCAACAAGGUUUUUCAAACUGUGUACCGAGAAGUGUGGAUUAACAGCUACCAAUUUGACUUUUGCCAUGACUUCAGAUGUUAACAGAAGUUUUAGGCUCAAUGGAGAUGGAAAUGCAAAGAAAGAAGUUGGAGGAAGAAGCAAUAGACAGGAAGACAUGUCUUUGGUGAUAACUGCAGUAUACAUGGAUUUUCACAGUAGCUGUCUGGAAAGGUAACAUCUGGAAAGGACCGUGAAGUUUGUACUGAACAUAAAGAUGUACUAGUCUAUAGCAAGAUAAUCCACCCAAAACCCACCAUAUUUUUCCCAUCCACCACAAGCAAUGUGAGAAAACAUGAGUGGAUGGUAACUGCUCUAGAGUUCCAUGGACGGAACUCCCAUCUAAGGUAAUAUUGUGUUGGCAGCUGCAGGGACAAUAAGUCUGUAGGAUUUUGAGAGGAAGUGGACUAGAUUUAUAUAACAGUAAUAUUUCAAACUAGAAUGAGCCCAUGCCACUCACAGGCUGAAGGCCUAUCCUGGCCCAUCAAGCGAUUCUCAUUACUAUCGACUGAUUCUUCAUUAGCUGGACAAACUCCCCCCAAAAGAGCCUCAGCAAGAAGAAAUCAUCAUGUGACCAUUACUGCCCUUUCUCUCUUAUUUGCUCUUUGCAACAAAAAUAAAUAUUUUGUGCAUGGAAAGUGCAUCCUCAGUGGUCCAUGUGAAAGCAGCCAUGGCCUCUGUCUAGUUCCCAGUGGACACAUGUCCACGUUGCAAAGGGCCACGAUCAAGUUGAGGCACUGUGGAGUUUUGGAGGAAGGAAAAGUGUCAGAUUAGCGGGGGUUGCCCUGUACAACCCUCGAACCUAGCAAAUCAGCAGACUUCUGCAUCGUAAUUAAUGCUCUGCAGCCUGUCAUGCGGGUCUGGGAAGUUUUCUCCCCCUCCACCUGUACACACACACAACCCUCUUCAUUUACCCAGCACUUGAGAUACUCUUAUAGAGUUGAGCCACGCCUCCCUCCAGUUACCAAUCACCUGUCAGGUUUCCCAUGACUUCAAACUGUUUUGUUUUGUUUUACCCCCAGCUGCCAAAUUUUGUGCAGCUGUAUGUGACAUUUUAUGAAAACUACUGAAAUAAUUUGUAUGUUUAUAAAUUUGCAUAUGACAAAUUCCAGGUUACAGUCAACAUCCCCUGUCCCAAGCAGUAGUGCAUGGAGCUCUUCAAAGCAUGGCAGUGGUAGCUGGGGAGGCGGGGGGUGGGGAACGGAGGCAGUCGGUAGGCGGAUGGGUGUGGGGGGAGCUGGAAGUAGCGCUGUCACUGUAGCUGCUGGGGGAUGCGUAUUGUGUGACUGUGGCUUCCAGGAUGUCUGUGGUUUGUUUUCUGGCUGCUAAGAGGGUGCAGAGGUGGCUGGAUCCUGGGGUUGGUACUGGGGGGACUGGGGGUGGAUGACUGGGUGCACAGAGGGGGCAAGAGGGCCCAGAUGGCUGGGCAUUUGGAAGUGAGUGGAUGACUGGGGGUUGUUCAGGGCAGUGGGGGUGGAUUGCUGGGUGCUAGGGGGAAGUGGCUGGUCAGUGGUGGUAAGAAUGAGGGGACAUAUUGCAGAGGGCCUGGGGGAGGUGAGGAGCCCAGCCCCAAUACUUGACCCCUCCCCUUGUGCUGCAGUCACCACCCCUUGUGCUGCUCCUUUCUAGCUGGGAUCCAGUAAGGGAGGAGGCACCCAGCUGCCUAUUCAACAGGCACCACAGAGGCCUAUGGCCACCAGAGGCUGAAACUGCAGCUUCUGCCCACAGCUCAGCCUAAUGGGGUGAGAUUCCAUCUGCACCCUGAGUAGGUGGGGCUGCCAAAUGUGUGUCAUGCAGUAUGCACGUCACUAGGCCAAUGUGAUGUUAAACUCCAUCACUAUAAAGCUAAUCUCCUCUUUUUAGUCCCCCCCUUCAAAUUCUCUGUAUGGGCCACAAGGAAUGAGUUGAUUAAAGAUUCAGUGGAAACAAGCUACAUUAUGUGCUUGACGCUGCUGGAAGCUGAUUCUGUGCUGAGCAACGUGCUAAGUCAGCAUGAAGCAACAUUUUUGCGGGGAUUUGAGGAUGGAGAAAAAUAUUUAUCUGCCUCACAAGGAUGCCAUGAGAGUUAAUUCAGAAGAUUGUUUAAAUGCUUUGAAAUCCUCACAUGGAAGACACUACUGAACAUGCUAAGUCAUCAUUGAUGUGUGAAAGUUCUAAGUGUUACUAAAAUAUAAACAAAGGAAACCGGUGACUAUAGGAAAAAGUAGCACACUCAAGUGGACAGUCUGCUAAUACAGAGGUGCUGCUUAAUUAUUUUUGCCUGUUUGUAGAAUAUCCAAACUUGUUAGGUGGGAGCAAACACAUACAUCAAUAAAUGACUGAGUAAGU